CGACAGAGGUGGCAAGCGUUGUUAGGAUUUACUGGGCUUAAAGGGCGUGUAGGCGUCCUGGCAAGUCAGAUGAGGAAGCCUUGGGCUCAACCCAAGAAUUGCAUUUGAUACUGCCGGGACUGAGUCGUGCAUGGGAGGGCGGAAUUCCUGGUGUAGCGGUGAAAUGCGUAGAUAUCAGGAGGAAGGCCGGUGGCGAAGGUGGCCCUCUGGGCAAUGACUGACGCUGAGGCGCGAAAGCGUGGGGAGCAAACAGGAUUAGAUACCCUAGUAGUCC
rnacentral:rRNA from 1 species